rnacentral:lncRNA from 1 species
UUGAAUACUAGGUUGUCAUCCCCAGCAUGGCACUAGAGUGUACUAUGGUAUUUAUACGCACACAGAUAAUCCGCAAGCGCACGGAUACCGUUGAAGCUUUUACCCGGUUAAAGGUUUUAUCGUAUCCACAGGGAAACGGGAGAACUGAUCUACGCUCUAACUUAACCAAGAUAAGUAAAUAGGUGUGAAUAGGAAAGAUGGUAGAAUCGAAUAAGAACAAUAUUAAAGGUAAGAUAAAAGUGAGUGAUAAUAUGGGGAUAGAGAGUAGAGCAAUUCUAGUAUAUGGGCGAUGGUAGCAGAAUAGAGAGGAUAACUAUGGUUUCUCUACUUCAAAGGGGUAUGUCUAUGUCUGGGACGAACCACGUGAUAAGAGUACACCACAGAGGAUGCUUAUCCAUAGGCCGAUAAACCCUACCCGUCCUGCUAACGAGAGGUGGACUACAGGGGACCAACGUAACUGUCACCUACGCGGCCUACCACACGAUCCAGCUAGUCAGGGGAUAUCCACAAGUAAUCUAGGUCUAAGCACCACGCUUACACCUAUACUACAACUCUAACCUAUAGGGUCCUAUAGAUUAGAAGUACUCAAAAGAGUUGUGAACCAAAACAUACAUGAUUAGUAAUUGCAUAAUGAAUUAGAAGUAGAUUACCAGAGUCAUCCCAUGAGCAAGCUUGAUUAGAUCUUGAUCAUGGCGAAGUACAACCGGAGGAAGAACCGACAGGCCGGCCUCUCCUCUAAUCCUCCUUCGCUCUCCAUCUCGCUACUUUCUAGAUCUACUCUAGUUUAGAGAAGAGAGGAGAGCUCUCAUCUCUAAACCCUAGCUUUUGCUCUGUCUAUGAAUAAUGAAUAAUGAUCAAGGGGUGCUUCCUCCAGGGGCCAGGGGGUCUGGUUUUAUAGUCCCCUCAAGUGAACCUGGGCCGUCGGAUCAAACCGACAUUGAUUGAACGGUUAUUCUUGAUCCUUUAGGUCGGUGGAGCAUAAUCCGCGAGAUUGAGCGUGAUUGGCCACAGGAGGUGGGCGGGCGCCCAGUAGGACAGGGCGGGCGCCCUGUCUCUGGCCCCGUUUCGCCUCCGCUUCGGUCUCGUGGCUUUUGGAGUCUUCUAGAUGUAAGAUAAUUGCGCGGCACGUUAAUAUCUUUACGUAAUCCCCUGCAGAAAUAGACAAACACCAAAACUCGUGGAAUUCUGUCAGAUAAAACCCUAAGUCUAGAUGUUGAUUUCAUUUGGAUCCUUUUCUUUGUUUAUUUGAUAGUUAAAUUUGAUACUUAAGGACCGUCAACAAACUCCCCCAAGCUUACCUCUUGCUCGUCCCUGAGCAAGGAUAGACUCAGCAAUGGAUCAGAAGUUGUUGCAAUAUCUUAAAAAUUUGACAGUACACAUGCUUUUAAAUAAGAUCUCAUCUCUGAGUUAGAGUAAACUGUCAAGAACUAAAACUUACUUACUUUACCUUUCACCAUGGGACUUGUAACCGUCACUUCUGUCUUGAGUGGUUAAAAGAUAGAACAGUCCCGUCAAGUGCCAUGUCUCUUAUUCUUGAUCAGCUAUAGCUCUGGAGUUUUUGCAAAUUUUCAAAUAAAACUCAGAGAUUCCUUUGUAUGACUCUCUCAUAUCUCUCUUUUGUGGUAUUUCUGGAUCCUUACCAAGGCAGUGAUGGUGUAUGCCUUCUCUCAAAAUAUGUGGUAUUUGUGGUAUAAGGCAUAGUGACAUUGCCUUCUCUCUCACCCUACUCUAAUAAGGCUUUAAUAUCUGGAGCUCAUAGGUGGAAGAUAAAGUAUACAUACUUACAAGACAUUUAUUGUAUAUUCAAACCAUGGUUCCAAACAAACAAAUCAAUAAGCCAAAUCAAGAUGUGCAUGUGUGGCGAAUGAAUGGUGUAUAGUGAUGAUGGUGAUAACAAUGGUGAAAGUCUAAUUCUACUUUUGCUCUUAUGAGGGGAUACAUACCUUCCUUGCUUUUUGAAACUUUAUGAGGAGAAUGAGAUGCUCUUCUUUUUCUUUCCUCUUAGGUGGGUAUCUUGUACCCCUAAUUCUACUGUCGGACACUUGUCCAAUUUUACCUCUCGUCUCACUCUUUUUCUUUUCUUUCGAGGUUCCGGGUACUUGCCCAUUUUUAUUUCCUCGUUUAUUAUUUUUUUCUUUUCUUUUUUUUUUCUUCUUUUUUUCUUCAGAGCACUCAUCUCUUGAGAUAAUAUAGCAAGUGGUAGUAGCAAGAUAACUUGAGCAUUUAUUUCACAAGGGAAAAACACAGCUGUUUUUGACUAUUCUCUCCCGAAUUAGGAGUAGAAUAUUUUUAGGUGAUUCUGGAGAUGGAAAUGGAUGGAUAUAUGUGGAUGGUACUUCCGGAGUAGAAGUAGCAUAUAUAUGAGUGAACGUGCAAGUGAAUCUUGAUUUAACCACAUGACAAGCUCCUAAGGGUCUACACAGCUUGACCACACUCAAUGCUCAUAAGCAGUAAAUAAAUGUGUGGCUCAAAGUCUAGCAAGCAUGUAUAUAUGGCUGUGGUAGGAAUUUAAACUUUCAUCAUACAGGAACUCAUCAUGCAAUAUUUUAAAGAUUUUUCAAAGAUAAAAUUCUCCAGAAUUCCAGCAUCUCUAGGAAUAGAUAAACAGCAGCUCAACCUUCCCAUAUCAUAUCCGUUAACAACUUAGAUUUCAGAUCAAGUUUUUAUCCCACAAGUUUAGAUCUAGAGCAAGCUUUAAAUUAUAACAGUUAUGUCUAAACUUGAGAGAGAAAACUUCAAAUUUGCAAAUUAGGCAGAGCAACUAUUCAUCAUAUUCAUGCUAGAGUUUUAUUAUUAAGAUUCAUAGCAAACUUUAUUUAUUUAUUUAUUUAUUUAUUUAGAAAACUAAGAAAGGUAUAUAUAUAUAUAAGCAUAAAAUCUUUAUUUGGUUUUUCAUAGUUUAUGUAUUUUAAUAUUCUAAUAUAAUAUAAGUAUAAAGAUAGGUAGAAAUACUUAACGAGAUAAAUAGGGGUGCUCUCCCCCAAGCUGAAUUUUGACGUAAUUUCUCUUGAUGUAGCUAGCAGGUGGCAGAGGUGUAUUUGAAAGUCAGCAGCAUUGUGACAGCGGUUAGAAUGUCCUCCGUCUGCUAGUCUUCUUGAUUCUUAAAUUCUGUGGAGCUCAAAUAGACAACAAAGCUUGUGGAACUAAUUAAGUGUUAGCAUAAAUAUCUAGCCUUCAUCACGUUGAGCUUCCUCAAUAAAUAUUACUCCCUGUUUUUAUAUUUUUAUUUUAUAAAGUAGAAAAGAAAUAUUUAUUUUAUUUUUAUGCCACCACAGUGAAGGUACUUAUGGGUUUUAUGCCACUCGUAUACUCACAUGGGGCUUAGUAUUUUUUAACAUUUUUAUUUUCUUUUCAAGAUAGCAUGAUUAACUAAUAAUCUAUUUAAGGAAAGUAAAUAAUUAAAGGGAAAAGGGAAUGCAGAAAGGAUAAAUAUGGAUGACUACCAAUCUUACCUUUCGGCGAGGGUUCAAUGUUUUAAGUCUUCUUGACAAGACUUCUCACCGUGUUCAUUCUUCAGGUGCGUCAUUUGAUUCAGGUGCGGACCUUGACGUCUGCACCUUUUAAUACGAUGUCACCCAUGUUCUUCAGUAGUUCGAAGUGCGGUGUUGGCAGUAUCCUGCUUAGUGUGUUUGUGCUCGUAGAUCUAGGUCCUUCACUUGGUAGAGUCUGAGAGUUAUAAAACUCCUCCGUGUUUUGCUCAAAGUGUACCUGCUCAUAGAGACAAGGUAGAGAUCAAGUGCAUGGGUCCUGUUGGUGGAAAACACCAACAGAACCAAAAGUGUAUUUGUUCUUCUCUAACCUUAAGCAUAGUGAGCAAGAUAAAGUUGAUGGAUGAUAAGUUCAUGAGUGUAGCACUUAUAACAUUUGUCAGAUCAGAUCGCUCAACCUUAUGGAAAGAUAAUCUUUCUAUGUAUAUGUCUUUUUCUUUAUAUCUCUCAAAGAUUGAAUGUGUAACAUUUUAGCUCAUAUGAUUAGGAGUGUGGGAUCAUGGAGGUAGUACUAAGAACAAGGAUUAAAGGACUAAACAUGUUGAAUCAGUUGGGUUGGUUAAUCUAGAGUUGUAAAUCAUACAUGUUUGUCUCUUUUAUUUAUAUGAACGCCAGAACCAAGGAGAAGCUUAUAAAAGUGAUAGUCAAGUACCUUA